CGCUGAGGACGACGUUGCGGCGGUGGACGAAGCGGAACUGCGGUGCAGCAUUGUGGAACCCCGUAACCUUGAGGAUGUCGCCAACUCGGUACCUGUACAAGCCUAUCACACACGGGCAAGUAGAAGUUGCUGAGGUCAUAUAUCGACCACAAGAGGGAGGAAAGGACUGGAUGCACAGUGACCUCCCAAGUUCAGAUGUACUGCGACAUGGAGUCAGGCACAUGGGAUGAAGUUUGAGUCAGAUAUUGAAUGCCUCAUCCAUCCGUUCCAUGUCCAUGAAGCGGACUAAGUCUCCCGAAAAGUUCACGACAAAGCCACUGGUGCAUUUGGGGAUUCAUCCAGAUGAUGCAGUCAGUGGCACAGUUGUCUUCUACAUGUGCAUGCUUAUUUUAUUUGUAGCUGUGUGAGGUCUCACUCGUCAGUGCAUGUUAUCGAGGACUGGCCCGAUCCCUCCCUGCUUGAAGACCAGCAGUAGUACUUGGAGACAAAAAAAAAAGUCAACACAGCCUGAUGGCAAAGACACGACACGGGGGGAGAAGAAAGGUAUGGAUGAGAUGUGGCCAAAGCCAAUGCUGUCUACGAUUCGAAGAACGAGGAGGAGACCUCACCUGUGAAUGUGGUGACGACGAGCUCGUAGUAGCGGCCGACCUCGACAUCCACAAGAUCCACC